AGGACGAACGCUGGCGGCGUGCCUAAUACAUGCAAGUCGAGCGCAGGAAGCAGACUGAAACCUUCGGGUGGACGUCUGUGGAAUGAGCGGCGGAUGGGUGAGUAACACGUGGGUAACCUGCCUGUAAGCUUGGGAUAACUCCGGGAAACCGGUGCUAAUACCAAAUGAUUCUGAAGUUCGCAUGAACUUCAGGUGAAAGGCGGCUUUUAGCUGUCACUUACAGAUGGACCCGCGGCGCAYUAGCUAGUUGGUAAGGUAACGGCUUACCAAAGCGACGAUGCGUAGCCGACCUGAGAGGGUGAUCGGCCACACUGGGACUGAGACACGGCCCAGACUCCUACGGGAGGCAGCAGUAGGGAAUCUUCCGCAAUGGACGAAAGUCUGACGGAGCGACGCCGCGUGAGUGAUGAAGGUCUUCGGAUCGUAAAACUCUGUUGUUAGGGAAGAACAAGUGCCGGGUUAAUACCCCUGCACCUUGACGGUACCUAACCAGAAAGCCCCGGCUAACUACGUGCCAGCAGCCGCGGUAAUACGUAGGGGGCGAGCGUUGUCCGGAAUUAUUGGGCGUAAAGGGCUCGCAGGCGGUCUUCUAAGUCUGAUGUGAAAUCUCGUGGCUUAACCAUGAGCGGUCAUUGGAAACUGGGAGACUUGAGUACAGAAGAGGAGAGUGGAAUUCCACGUGUAGCGGUGAAAUGCGUAGAGAUGUGGAGGAACACCAGUGGCGAAGGCGACUCUCUGGUCUGUAACUGACGCUGAGGAGCGAAAGCGUGGGUAGCGAACGGGAUUAGAUACCCUGGUAGUCCACGCCGUAAACGAUGAGUGCUA
rnacentral:rRNA from 1 species